UUGAGGAAAAUUCCCUAAAGUCCACGUUACCUCAGUUCUUUGAGGAAACCCUAUACACCAACUCCAAAGUGUCUUCAUGUAAUCUAGAAUCAGAAAGAAACAUUUCCUCUCAAGUCAGGGAAAUGUCACAUGGAGAGCCUAGUCCCCUCUCCCACCCACCCCUAUCUGGAGCCAAGAGGGAAGGAAACAGCUCUGCGGUUUGGGGGCUAAUGAUAGGGAAUGAGGCUUUUAGACAAUUGUGUCCUCAGUGACUGAAGGAUUCUGGCCUAUCUGUGCUUCUAGAAAGGGGAGGAUCAGGCAAUGUCUGCACAAAGUACAGUUUUCUAGAGUGCUGGUAAGUGGGUUCUCUAUGAUCUGUCUGAAUGGUGGAGCCGACUGAGACACAUUAGUUUUCUAAAUCACUCAGAUCGCUCAAAAGCAAACAAACAACAGCAAAAAACAAGCAAACUGAAAACUCCACAUCACUUGUGCCUAUAAUACUUUCUUGCUCAGAGUAUAAACAAACUUUUACUUGAAUUAAGUGGAAUAAAUCCACAUGGGACACAGGCCCAGAGAGUCCCAGUUUAUAUUUUCAAGCAAAGAAGACAGACUUGCAGGCAGCUAAACUUCGUGCAAAAGAUCAGAGGGUACUCACCAGGCCACUUCCACAACUAACACCCUAGUUGUUUUCUCAAAUAGUAUUUUUAAUGCAUGAGCAACCAGAUAUAACCAACUGGAUGCUUCUCCAUGGCCAGAUGGAGUGUUUGAAAAUAUUCCUUAAUGUAGCACCAAAUCAUUUUUCAGUUCAUUGGUGACCUAGAACUAAAGAGUCAGGGAGACUCUUCUGUAAAGGCAGGUUGUUUGGAACUUGUUUUUUGCCCCACCAGCUGAGAUCCUUUACAACAAACAGUGCACUGACUCAGGGUCAGUGAGAAUGUUCAACCUUCAUUAAAUACAUUGCCUAGAGAAGAGGCCAAAAGAGAUAUGAUCCUAAGAUGGCAGUAAAUCCAACCUUUGUAAAAAGAUGGAAGCCAAUGGCCACUGACGCCAGUGCAGAGUUGCCUUCAAUUUAAAGUGGGUUGUUAAUGUCGUUCCCUGGAGCUGACAUUUUGUCUUUAGGAUAAGGCAGAAAAGCAGGAAAAGAAGACUGUUAUUUUGAAGAAGAAAACCUGAAAACGCAACCUCAGUUGGUAACUAGUACUUGGCGAAGAAGGAAAGCCGGUGCGGUUUUAAUGAGAGAAAGUAACUGCCAGGCCUUUUGACCAUCGCCUUCGCUUUGCAAAUCUGGUUUUCAUAUUCUUGCUCAGUAAUCACCCAAAGUCAUAACUGUCUCUGAAAUUAUUCAUUAAAGUCAUUUUCAGGGAUUCUCACAGGAUGACUCUUUUACGUUUAUGAUCUUGUGAGAGCAAUGACAUCAGCCUCUGUCUGUUUUCCGCAUUUAAUUAACGUGCCGCGAAGACGCGAGGGGCCGUGGCUGUGUGCGUGGGGAGGGGGCGGGCUGGGGUGGAAUCCAACGGCCCUGGUGCUCCCGGCGCGGUCAGCUGAGCUCAGGCGCGCAGACAUCCUUUGAUUAAGGAGGGUAUUUCGGGGAGUGCAGGCUGUGCAGAAGAUCACGGCUGUGCCCUCUGGUGCUGUCAGCAGUGACAGAUCCCAGAUGGGGCCGCUACUGUAUGGCAGAUUGAGUUUCUCAGCAGAAAACUCACCCUCCCUCCUAAACGUCUUCAAAAACCUUCUCCAGAUACUCCAAGUCUCUUCGUGUGAAACUGAAAAAGUCCAAUCCCAAAGUUGGUUUUGAGUGCGUGUAUGUUACGUGUUUUUGUUUUGUUUUUUUUUUUAUUCCUUCCUCUAUUUUUUCUCUGCAUUUACUCCUCCUCUGAGCAUCUUCGACCCGCAGGGCUACCUGGCUGCUAAUAGCGUAGACGUGGCGGGCCUGGGGGUUCCUGUUCGCCUAGCUCACAGCGCCACGCCGACUACACAGCACCGAAGGGCCCCGAAGGCAACCCUGAAUAAAUGGAGCCAGAUCCUGGAUUACACCCCGGGGACAGCGUUUUAAUGUAAAUGUAAAAUAUGCUAGUAAUAAUCACUUUUGGGCCCUGAAACGCCAUUAGGAUUUCUGUUUAAUUAUAGGGCAUGAGAGAAGCAUUACCAGCUAAUUAAAUCAAUCCUAUUUGUAAUUCUCCCUCUGCUGCUGCAGUCUUUAAAAUGUGAAAUUGCGGAAGUUUUGGAGAAAAGGAAAUGACACUCCCUUCAUACCUGGGAAGACGAACCACUUGCCCGAUGUGCACAAAGACGGAGUCUCGUUCUGUCACGCAGGCCAGAGUGCAGUGGCACGAUCUCGGCUCAGUGCAACCUCCACCUCCCGGGUUCAAGCGAUUCUCCUGCCUCAGCCUCCCGAGUAGCUGGGACUACAAGCACAUGCCACCAUGCCUGGCUAAUUUUUUGUAUUUUUAGUACAGAUGGGGUUUCAUCAUGUUGGCCAGGCUGGUCUCGAACUCCUGACAUCCAGUGAUCCACCCGCCUCAGCUUCCCAAAGUGCUGGGUUUACAGGCAUGAGCCACCACACCCAGCUGCUCACUUCUUACUCAGAAGGUGAAUGUUUGUCAUAUUUAGUGUUUCUGGUACUUGUGUAGCACGUGGCAUACAUAGUUAUGCACCGUAUAAUGAUGUUUUAGUCAACGACAGACCGCAUAUAUGACAGUGGUCUCAUAAGAUUAUCACACCAUAUUUUUUAAUGUACCUUUUCUAUGUAUAGAUAUGUUCAGAUAGACAAAUAUUUACCAUUGUGUUGCAGUUGCCUGGAGUAUUCAGCACAGUGACAUGUUGUACAGGUUUGUAGCCUAGGAGCAAUAGGCUAUACCAUAUAGCCUAGGUGUGUAGUAGGCUCUACCGUCUAGGUUUGUGUAAGUACAUUCUAUGAUGUUCGCACAAUGACACAAUCACCUAAUGAUGCAUUUGUCACAACAUCUCUGUUAUUAAGUGAUGCAUGAUUCUACUGCCUUAUAUCUGCUGGAGACAGUUGUCCGGAGGUUUCCAUGUCUCUGCAUCUCUUGCCAGCAGGGAUACUGACUGCGUUUAUUCUGAACUAUGAUUACAAGGAUGUUUAUACAGGGGAUAGCCUUAAAAUAUGAAAACGAAGUCUGUCUCUGGAGAAAAGGGCAGGUAUGCCUGCUGCCCAUUAAGACAUGGGUUCCUUAAGUGCCAGGUUUCUCUCCUAUAAUGCAACUUACGUCAUGUGCUGGUGUCAAAUGUCAUCUGUGUCACCUGGUGGGAAUUGGGGCCUGGGGAAGUCACAAGAAAAAGCUGGUACUGUGACUAUUGCUAUGGCUAUAAUAAAGGCAUUUAUGUGUGAC
rnacentral:lncRNA from 1 species